CCUCCCCCCGUCGACUGUCUUCUUCCCCGCGCCGCCUACGUGCCGCCCAGCUCGCCGCCGCCGUCGCCAGCGCCUUCCUCCCUUCCCGCCGCUCUGCAGCAGCUCUCCUUCCCCUUUCCUCCUUUCCGCCGACGUUAGCCGAAGGUAGGGAGUUGUCUUCGCCGUUUGGCCUCUUGCCGGCUUGUUUUCGGCGAUCUGGCGCCGGAAUCGGACUCCCCACCCC
rnacentral:lncRNA from 1 species